rnacentral:rRNA from 1 species
UGGGGAAUAUUGGACAAUGGGCGCAAGCCUGAUCCAGCCAUACCGCGUGGGUGAAGAGGGCCUUCGGGUUGUAAAGCCCUUUUGUUGGGAAAGAAAUCCAGCUGGCUAAUACCCGGUUGGGAUGACGGUACCCAAAGAAUAAGCACCGGCUAACUUCGUGCCAGCAGCCGCGGUAAUACGAAGGGUGCAAGCGUUACUCGGAAUUACUGGGCGUAAAGCGUGCGUAGGUGGUCGUUUAAGUCCGUUGUGAAAGCCCUGGGCUCAACCUGGGAACUGCAGUGGAUACUGGACGACUAGAGUGUGGUAGAGGGUAGCGGAAUUCCUGGUGUAGCAGUGAAAUGCGUAGAGAUCAGGAGGAACAUCCAUGGCGAAGGCAGCUACCUGGACCAACACUGACACUGAGGCACGAAAGCGUGGGGAGCAAACAGGAUUAGAUACCCCAGUAGUCCCUGAGCGGGCUGGCAAGGCGCAU